CAAUUUUUGAUCAAAAUAAUUAAUUUCAUUAUUAUUACUUGUUUUUUUUUCACUAUUGUAAUUACUAGUUACACACUUACCCACUAUGUUAAAUUACAAAAUACGAACUAAAAUGGUGUAUAAAUGUUUAUAUUGCGGUUCCACUUCAAAAAAUAAUGACAACCAUGCCUUGCCUUUUCAUUCUUAAGUAUAGAUUUUAUUGAAUUAAUAUUUAACGUACAUUGUUAUUUAUUUUAUUAUUUUUUAUUUUUAAAUUUAAGCUUCCCAAACGAUCAAAGACGAUAUUUAUGGCUAGAUUCCUUAGGCUUAAGUAAUACAGGAAAAUGGGAUAAAAUAUGUUCUAGGCAUUUUAAUCCUCAACAUUUUAUGGUGUGUGUUUCAAAAGUACACUAUUAGGCGACGCAGUAUCUAUGUAAAAUAAUUUAAAAAAGUAAAUGUCUAAUUAUAAUAUUUGAAGUAUAUUUUAUUAUUAUUUUUUACUAAUAAAUUAAAAACAAUUAUGUUAUUAAUUACAGUGUUAAGAAUGUACCAUCAUUUCCAUUACUCAAAAAAAUGGAUAAAAAUUUAGUUUAGACAGGUACCCCAGUUGAAUAAACCAAGUAAUAAUGUUUUAUAAUAUAUACAUUAUAUAUAUUUUAGUAUAUAUUUCCUUAAAUUUCUGAUUUGCUAUGGGCUAUUUGGUAGUGUUAUACAUUAAAAAUAUAUUGUUUCAGCGAAGAUACAAAUGACUUGAAUUGUUAUAAAAUACCUACAAUAUCAGUCUAAAAAGUAACUAUAAUAAAUAUUACAUUAGAAUAAUAUAUUAUAAUAACAUGUUAUUUAAAAGAUAUUUUUUAUUUUCAAAUAAGAAAUUAUUUUGCAACAGCUUAGGAUCUCCAAAUAAAGUAUUGGGCUCUUCUUCUAGAUUUGGAGGUUUAGAGGAAAAUGAUUUUAGUACCCCUAAAAGAGCCAAAAAUAAUUUUAACUUAAUAAAAAAAUUGUUUUGGAUCUCCGUGAAAAAAAUAGAUGUCUAGUGCGAAAAAAAUCAUUAACUUGAACAAAUAAUUAAUUUAUUGAAUAAUAUUAUUAAGGACUAACAUGUCAAAUUAUUACAAACUAAAACUACAACUAAUUCAAAAGUAUUUAUAUUUAAAUUUAUUUUUUUUUUGUUUACAGGGUGUAUGGUGUUAUGAUUUUGGUUGAUGAAAAUACAAAAUUAUUAGUUAGGAACGUGAAAACCCAAUAUGAAAAUUAACCUUAAUCUCAAAUCGUCGCUGCUUAAAAUUAUGUUUUUCAUUUAUUAACCUAACUAUUUAGUUUUGUAUGUUAAAAGACUCACUGUAUUUAAAAUAAAUAUAUUGGAUAAUAAUCAUAAUGUCUAUGGUUUUGUUAAUUUGGG